UUGAUUUUAGUGGCGGACGGGUGAGUAACACGUAGGCAACCUGCCCUUAAGAUUGGGAUAACUUUAGGAAACGGAUGCUAAGACCGGAUAAWCAAUUUGGCUGCAUGGCCGAGUUGGAAACACGGAGCAAUCUAUCGGCUUAGGGAUGGGCCUGCGGCGCAUUAGCUAGUUGGUGGGGUAAUGGCUCACCAAGGCGACGAUGCGUAGCCGACCUGAGAGGGUGAUCGGCCACACUGGGACUGAGACACGGCCCAGACUCCUACGGGAGGCAGCAGUAGGGAAUCUUCCACAAUGGGCGAAAGCCUGAUGGAGCAACGCCGCGUGAGUGAGGAAGGCUUUCGGGUCGUAAAGCUCUGUUGCCAGGGAAGAAUAAGGAUGAGAGUAACUGCUCAUUCCGAUGACGGUACCUGAGAAGAAAGCCCCG
rnacentral:rRNA from 1 species